AUUUUAAUAAAAUACAUAAAAUAUCUGUGAGAAAUACACUUGUGAGUUCUCUCUUUCUCAAAAGAACGGGGAGAACGUCAGUUAAUUCUCUUAUCCGAUAAUGAUUUCGUCAAGCGUGAGUUCGAUUCUCUUCUCCGAUAACAAUUCCGUCAAGCUGGAGGAGAAUAAGAAGGAAUCGAUAAUUUGGUUUGUUGUCUAAGAACACGAUUUCAGACAGAGCUGAAGCUAAGAAUACGAUUUCAGAUAGAAUUGAGGAGCUCAACAGCUGAAGAGCUUCUCGCUAAAGGACAAUAUUUACAUCAUACUUCUCGCUGACAACAUGAUUCUGUUGAAGUAGGGUUUAUCAGGCAAAACAUGAAGAAUUGGAAGGUGCAGAAUUACAUGAGUAGCUGCUUCAGCCAGCAACUACAGCUGCUCCUUCUCCAGUCCAUGUUCGUGCAGGGAAGUAGGCUGCCCGGCCCAUUCCUCGGAAGCGUACAACUGAAGAAGAUGAACAUGCUGCGUUGUUGGGACCUGCUAUACUUUGUGCAUAAGUUAAGUUGGAGAUUAUAAUUUAAGUUUCAAUGUCUUAAUACAUUUAAUUCCCAUGAUGACAGUUCCAUGAUAUCCCUAAAUCAUAACUUCUCUUUUCCUUUAUUAAAAGUUCAUAGAAGUUCUAUACUGCGUACACAAAUGGAAGUAUCACCGACUCAUUAUGGUUUGGUUUAAUUUUUUGUAGUAAAGAAGCCUUGCCUAGAAAAUAGAAGUUUUCCUUCAGCUAUGUGGCUAUCUUCAGGAAAUGACUGUUAAGCCUACAAAAGCACAUUUUGAUGUUACACACACUGAACCUGUGGCAUCAUUUAGUCAUUUACUGAUAAUGUAGAAAAGACAAAGUGGUAAGCAAUCCCGAAACUGUAGAAGGAUGACAAGACAUCUCAUUGUACUUUCUGUACAUUUGAGGAAAAUGAAUGUGAUUAAAUUUGAAGGGUAGCAACAAGUCAAUUUGAUCUCAUUGAAGUGGAUGAUGAAGAGUUUUUGAACUAUUGUAAAAGUUUGAAUACAUUAUGUUUGAUUUUCAGAAGUAUAUUCAUUGCUAGAAUAAAUUGAACUAUUGUAAAAGUAAUUUUUGGACUGUUUUGUAAACAUAAUAAGAAUAUUGCUUUACAGGUAUGUGCAUGUACACAAGGCAUACUAUCUUUUGAA